CAUAUGCUCUGUCUCUCUGUCUUCCUUUCUUCCAAAGAGCAUAACACUCAGCCCUAUUGAAGCCAAAAGUUGAAAUUGGAACACCAAACGCAUAUCAAGUCUGAAUCGUAUCUAUAGCAACAAACAAUUAUCAGGAAGUAAUAAUGUUCUUAAGGCGCAACAGUGAUACACAAUCACCUUUUUUCUAUGAUUCAAUAACCGAGUCUUCGCUUGUCACUGUGAAGAUUUAUCACGGGGGAAUUAUGAAGCGUACACCAGAUAAGCAUUACGUUGGAGGAAACAUGGAUUACAUUGACUAUGUAAACACGACAGAAUUGAAUCUUGUUGAAUUCAAGAAGAUGGCAGAGAUAUGUGGUUACGCAAAUGAUUCGAUAACUUUUUGGCAUAGGUUUGGAAGGCCUCGUAAUCGGAAGUUGAUCUCUACAGAUUUUGAAGACUACACAGUUGGCAAAAACAUCCAAAAGGACAAUGUGCUUGAAAUAUACUUUGAACAUUUGGAUUCUUACUUUCAAAUGGACAAAGUGGAUUCAGUAAAUCAAUCAAAUAUUGGAGAAAAUGACAAACAACAGAAUUUGUGUGAAAAUUCAUCAUGUGAUGAUUUUAGUGACUCGGAAGCUGAUUUAGCUGAUGAUGUUCUAGUUGAUACACAUGGGAAGAGGAAUCAAAGCUAUCUGGAAGAGAGAGAGAGAGAGCUCCUUAGUGCUGAAAUAAAUUAAGAGAAAGAUGGUUGAUAUAGAGGGGGGUUCUGAUUGUGUUGAUUCUGAAGACACGGAGAGUUUGGAUAGUGAUUCUGAAACUGAAAGUUUCAACUUUCCUCAGUACAAUCCAAAGACCGAUGGAGAUAACCCAGUAUUAGGUCUAGAAUAUGUCUUUGAGACAAAGAAGGACUUUAAAAAUGCUGUAGAAACUCAUGAGAUUAAGAAUGGAAAGUAUAUCCGAUGGGACAGGAAUGAUAGUAUAAGAAUGGAGGCAAUUUGCAUACACCAUCCAGAGUGCAAAUGGAAAAUCAAGGCUUCUAGAAUGCAAAGAGAUAAGGCUUUCCAGAUUAGAACUUACGAUCCUACACAUACUUGUAAGGAGUGGUAUCAUGAAAAUAGAACGAUCACUUCAUCUUUCAUUGCAAGAAAGUACCUCAAAGAAGUUGGAUCAAACAGGAAUUGGAGAGUGGCGGAAUUUAGGGAUAGGGUAAGUGUUGAACUAAGAGCUCAUGUGACGUUAUCUCAAGCUAAACGAGCUAAGAUGAAAGCGAUUACAUUAAUUGACGGUGAUAUUAAAGAUCAAUAUAAAAUGAUGUGGGACUAUUGCAAUGAAAUUGAUAGAACAAAUCCAGGCACUACGAUUUACAUAAAGCUCACUGAUAAUGAGGUCCCCAAUGAGCCACAGAGAUUUCAGAGAAUAUAUAUUUGUUUUGCUUCUUGUAAGCUUGACUUUAGAGCGGGUUGUAAAAAAAUUGUAGGUGUGGAUGGAUGUUGGUUGAAGGGUCCAAUGUAUGGGACUCAAUUGUUAUCUGCAGUUGGCAUCGAUGGUAACAACAAUAUAUUUCUUGUUGCCUACGUAAUUGUAGAAAAGGAAAGCAAAGAGACAUGGGCCUAGUUUUUGAAUCAUUUAGCUGCUGACUUGCAUAUACAUGAGAUUUGUUGGACCUUUAUGUCAGACAAACAAAAAGGUCUUAUUGAAGCUUUUAAUGAUGUUUUGCCUCAUGUGAGCCAUAGGUUUUGUGUGAGACACCUUCAUAACAAUUUUAAAAAGGCUGGCUUUGGCGGUUCCACAUUAAAAAAGGCACUUUGGGCUGCUGCAAAGUCUUGUACUGUGAGAAAAUUUGAUGAUUGCAUGAAAAAUAUUUCAAAGUUAGAUCUUGAUGCUGCUACUUGGUUAAAUGACGAAGAACCUAGCGAAGGGUCUAGGUCGCAUUUCUCUUCAGAUGCUAAGUGUGACAUCUUACUAAAUAAUGUGUGUGAAGUGUUUAAUAGCAUGAUACUUGAUGCUCGAGACAAGCCAAUUGUGACACUUUUGGAGAAAGUGCGCCAUCUACUCAUGGCUAGAAUGGAAAUCGGGUGAUGUUUGUCCUAGGAUCAAGGAUAUAUUACACAACAAUCAGAUUGCAGCUGCUGAAUAUAUCCCUAGAAAAUCUAAUCACUGGAGCUAUGAAAUUUUAGGAGCUACAAUUACGGACAAUUGGGCAGUUGACUUGGAGAAUAAAUCUUGCAGUUGUAGAAAAUGGAGUCUCACUGGGAUCCCUUGCAAGCAUGCUAUUGCAGCAAUUUGGGCUAAAAAGGAUAACAUUCUUGAUUAUGUUCAUGAUUGUUACAAGGUGGAAACAUAUAGAAGAAUUUAUGAAAAUUCAGUUCUUCCAAUGAAUGGACCACAAAUGUGGCCUAAGUCAAGUAAAGUUCCUCCUCUGCCUCCAAGGAUUAUAAAAGAUAAUAAGAGAGGAAGAAAACAAAAAGUGAGAAGAAAGGAACAAGAUGAAGUUGGAUCUAGUCGAACAAAGAUGAAACGAAAGCAAAAAUCUCUAGAUUGUAGUACAUGUCACAAACCUGGCCACAAUACAAGGACUUGCAAAUAUAAUGUUGUGCCACCAGAAACUACCUCUUCAUUUCGGCCGAAACUACAUGUUAGAAGAGGACAGGAUGAAGUUGUACAAGGAGUAGUAGAACAGGAACAAAUGGGAUAUGCCGAAGUAGAAAUUGGACCAUAUUUUGUUUGGGAAAAUUCUCAAAUACACAACAAAGUGGACCUACUUUUUGAAGCUAUAACAGUUUUUUGGGUAAAAACGACUCAUUCUUUAUGUAUAUUUUUGUGCCAUUAUGAUGAUUUUCUAGCGAGUAUAUGGUGUUUUCUUGUGUAUUGCAGGUGAUGAAAGUUUGCUGUUGUUUUUGCUAAUUUAUUAAGUUGGUGCAGGAAUUGCUUGCUGCUGGUGCGGGAAUUGUUUAGUUGUUGUGUUUGUUGGUUUGGCUAUUGCUUUUUAUGAAGAUGAUGGCAAUUUAGAUGUUGUUUUUCCUGGAGUUUGGCUGCUAUUUUUUGCUGUAAUUUACAUGUUGUUUUUGUCGAAAAUGACAACAAUUUGCAUGUUGUUUAAGCUGGAAUUUGGUUGUUGUUUAUGACUGCAAUUAGAAUGCUGUUUUGGUGGUUUUUCACAGCUGUUUUGCUGGUUUUUUGCUGCUAUUUUUGCUGAAAAAUGACUGAUGUUCUUUGCUGAUUUUUGUGAAUGGUGCUGAAAUUUGACAUUAGCUGUUGUUUUACUUUUUUUUUUUUGGGGUUGUAAACUGCUUUUGAAAUGAAACAAAAUGUUGCUGAAUCCUCUUAUUUCAGUAUCAAUUUUUUUAUGUCAAUGCUUAACUGUAUAUGACCAGUAUUCACAUUACAAGAAGCUAUAAUUC